rnacentral:rRNA from 1 species
CCUACGGGUGGCAGCAGUGAGGAAUAUUGGUCAAUGGACGAGAGUCUGAACCAGCCAAGUAGCGUGAAGGAUGACUGCCCUAUGGGUUGUAAACUUCUUUUAUAUGGGAAUAAAAUGUUCCACGUGUGGGAUUUUGUAUGUACCAUAUGAAUAAGGAUCGGCUAACUCCGUGCCAGCAGCCGCGGUAAUACGGAGGAUCCGAGCGUUAUCCGGAUUUAUUGGGUUUAAAGGGAGCGUAGGUGGAUUGUUAAGUCAGUUGUGAAAGUUUGCGGAUCAACCGUAAAAUUGCAGUUGAAACUGGCAGUCUUGAGUACAGUAGAGGUGGGCGGAAGUCGUGGUGUAGCGGUGAAAUGCUUAGAUAUCACGAAGAACUCCGAUUGCGAAGGCAGUUCACUGGACUGCAACUGACACUGAGGCUCGAAAGUGUGGGUAUCAAACAGGAUUAGAUACCCCAGUAGUC